rnacentral:rRNA from 1 species
AUGACAUGGAACCUACUCGAUCAGCCAACUUCAGGCAAUUUUUCAGAAUUCAGAUAUCAGUUUUUUAGGUGUGUGAACCUGAGCUGGCCUGUGACAGAGACUGGUUAUCUGCCACCUUCGGUCGUUGCAAUGGCGCAAAAAAAAAAAAAUGGAAGCAGUGUCAGUGUGGCCUUUCCCCUAACUCCAAGUUGCCGCAGGCCCAAGUAUAUCCCGCUUUGCUCACAGUCUUUGAUCUAUCACGAUUACUACUCCUCGAGGUCUCAAGGGGAAAAAAGAGAGGAGCCGUUGGCUUUGGGUAAGGAAAUUUUUGCUGACUUUAAUUUUGUUUGUACGAACUCUGAAAUAUGUUCAUAA